rnacentral:lncRNA from 1 species
AACCUUAAAUCAAAACCCUAUACCUUAAACCAAAUCCUAAACCCUAAACCCAAACCGUAUACCAUAAAUUCUUAGACUUAAAACCCAAACCAUAAACCAUAAACCCAAACUCUAAACCUAGACACUAUAAGGUUUAGAUUUAGGGUCUAGGAUUUAGGUUUAGAGUAUAUAGUUUGGGUUUAGGGUUUAUGGUUUAGGGUAUACAAUUUGGGUUUAAGAUAUACAAUUUGGGUUUAGAGUCUAGGAUUUGGGUUUAGGGUACAAAGUUUAAGGUUUUGGUUUAGGAUUUAAAGUUUAGCAUUUAGAAUUUAAGAUUUAGGGUUUACGGUUUAGUUAACUUUAUCGUUAAAAUUGGCGUUAUUCUUUUUUUUUUGUUAUUUUUAAAUAAAUUUAAUUUUUUUAAUUAAUUAUCUACUUGAGACUUUGAUUGGUUCUUGAAAGAAAGGUAAAUUUAAAGGUUCACUUUAGGGGAUGAACCUAAAUUUUGUUCAUAUAACUUAUACUGACUAGUGAUGAUCUAAAUAAUUUUCCGUAAAUAAAAAUAAGAAUCUUGUUUCUCCAUUUAAUUAUUUUUGUUUUAAACAAAGAAAACCGAAUUUCUGCAUAAGGAUUUCCUUCCGUUUUGCUCGAAUAUUAAUCCAAAAGAAAUUUUAGUGUCAUCUUGUUGUAACGCCCCGACCCGCCCACGGCUAAUGGGCCACCCACGCCCGCUCUCUCGGCCCGUGGGCCCCAUCCCGUCUAACGGUCGGUCCGUUAAUUUUUCAAAGGCUCGAAAUCAUUGUUUACUGACCC